rnacentral:lncRNA from 1 species
GAUGAUUUCUGCUGAAUAUAGAGAGGGUGUAGAAUACUUCUACGAUUUUGCUUUUGGGAAUGUAGUACUCUUACAUCAAGGAUGGGCUCAUUGCCCUUGUAACAGAUAUGGCAAUAGAGAAAUAUUUGAUAGAGAUACAAUUACUGUCUAUUUGUAUACGAGUAGAUUUAUAUUAAACUAUAAGCAUUGAUACUUGCAUGAAGAGACAUGAGAGAAAGUUGCAAGGAUUAGAAGUG